rnacentral:lncRNA from 1 species
CACACCACACCACACCACAUGGAGGGCAAUGCUUUGCUGUUCCCAGGGCAGCGUCCUCUGCCACUGUUCAGGUGUUCCAAACCGGGCAGAGGGCCUGGAGGAGAAUCUCCUGUCACCUGUGCAUGUGCCUGCCCCACCCCUUGGGGCCCCUGGGCCACCUGUGCUAUCUUUGUCUCUAUCUUCCUUCUCUCUCCCGGGGUACUGAUUUCUGUAUUCCUCCAGUCCCACGGAUGAUACUCUCAUACUUCCCUCCCCUACCCGGGGGCUCAGUGGAGUUCCUAACCUGCCUGCUGUCUCCCUCCUUCCCCUGACUACUCCGCCCCUCCGUUCCCAUUCUCAGCCAUGGGCAUGGCCUCUUACAGGCACUUGGGAAUUCCCUUCUCCCCCAAUCAUAUGAGCUGUGAGCCCUUUGCCCCCAGCCCUUCCCCUUCCCCUCAGUGAUGUGGAGUGUAUGUGUGUGUUCCUACGUGUGAAUGUAUGAGUGAAUACAUGUUGUGGGCGGAGCCAGAGAGACUCAGGAGUGCCACGCACCUGCUCUAGAGAGGCAGCUGUCCCAGUCCCUGCCGUGGAAGUGGGGGACAGGGCCCUCUCCUGGGGGCCAUUGGUGCUAAUGGGGGGAUGGCCUUGGCAUGGGUGCUUAGCAUGCCUUCCCCCAAUGUUGGCCCGGGGCACUAGGGCAGGCCGGGUGGGGCAGCAGGUGCAGUAUUGAUGGGAGGGAUGGGU